rnacentral:rRNA from 1 species
GCCAGACUCCUACGGGAGGCAGCAGUGAGGAAUAUUGGUCAAUGGGCUUACGCCUGAACCAGCCAAGUCGCGUGAGGGAAGACGGUCCUAUGGAUUGUAAACCUCUUUUGUCGGGGAGCAAAAGACGCCACGCGUGGCGUUCCGAGAGUACCCGAAGAAAAAGCAUCGGCUAACUCCGUGCCAGCAGCCGCGGUAAUACGGAGGAUGCGAGCGUUAUCCGGAUUUAUUGGGUUUAAAGGGUGCGCAGGCGGAAGAUCAAGUCAGCGUUAAAAUUGAGAGGCUCACCCUCUUCGAGCCGUUGAAACUGGUUUUCUUGAGUGAGCGAGAAGUAUGCGGAAUGCGUGGUGUAGCGGUGAAAUGCAUAGAUAUCACGCAGAACUCCGAUUGCGAAGGCAGCAUACCGGCGCUCAACUGACGCUCAUGCACGAAAGUGUGGGUAUCGAACAGGAUUAGAUACCCGCGUAGC